rnacentral:tRNA from 2 species
GCCGGCGUAGCUCAGUUGGUAGAGCAACUGAUUUGUAAUCAGUAGGUCGUUGGUUCGAAUCCGACCGUCGGCUCCA